rnacentral:lncRNA from 1 species
CAGCAGUGUCCUUAGUUGGUUCUGAAGGGCAUUUUGCACAGUGUUUAGCAAUGAUUUGGGCCAUAUUACUUCUCAUUCUCCAAGUCUGGUCCUCCAAGUUUUUAGGCAAUUUUGUAUUUAUUUUCUGCUAUAAUCAGCCCAAACCCAUUUCUUUUGCUCUGGAACUUAGAAGUGAUCUAGUCAACUUACAUGGUAAGCAAUCAUCUAUAGCAAAAAUUUAGAGUAAAAUUAGACCAAGAUUGAUUGAACAUUCAUGUUUCAAACUGCAGAAAAUCUUGGAGUUUUUUUAGACAAUAAUAUUAAUGUUACUACUGCUAAUAAAAGAUAGCUUUAUUGAGAAACUACUGUAUGUCAUGAUCUGUAUUAAGCCUUUAUAUGAAAAAAAAAAGCCUUUAUAUGCAUUAUUUCCUGUAAUUCAAGGAAGAUAUAGGAACUCAAAUCUGAUGAAAAUAAGCCAGAUGAAAAAACAUGGCCUAUAAUCUAGUGGAGGAGGAGGAGGAUGAUGACGAUGACAAUGAUGAAGAUUAUGAUGACAAUGAUGUUGGUAAUGAUGAUAAUGAUGGCAAUGACAAUGAUGAUGACAAUGACAAUAAUGAUGAUUAUGAUGAUGACAGUGAUGUUGACAAUGAUGAUGAUGACAACAUCUGGAAUGUGGAGAAUCACAGUUAGGGUCAACCGCCUAUAUAACAGAGCUUGUUUGAAGUGUCUCAAGUCCCAGGCUCUAAUGGACCCCAACUCUGAUAAAUCACCUUCAUGCUCAGAAGGAAAGAUAAGACUUAUGCAACUAUUGCUUAUAGUGAUAACCUCUACAUCUCCUGGAAUUAGCCUCAACUUAGUGAUUUCUGGCGUACAUCCUGCAACUGGACAGAAGGACAGACACUGUUAAUCUACAGAAAGCUAAAAACAAAGUUUUGUGCAAAGAGCAGCUCAGGCACCUCCAGCUACACCAUGUCACAGCCUGGCUCUGGCUCUGAACUUUGUUCUGGGCUCAGCGCAGACUGUCCGUCUUACAUCAGGAGACCCUACAGGGAACCUGGGGCUUUCCACAGUGGGAGCACCCAUCUGCCCAACUGCAUAAGGCCACAGGAGUAUCAUCAACUGCAGAGGGGGAAACUGAGGCCCGCAGGGGCCGAUCAACAGGCAUUGUACUUGGCAGACCUUCUGAAGUGAGUGGGGAUGCUGAGACUGGAACAGGUGACUUCCUGGCUCUGUUGCUUCAUGAACCUGCUUUUUAAGUAGGCAUGGGCUCCUCUGUGCACCUGCUUUACCUGAGGCCGAAUCAAGUCUAGGAUAAAGAUUCAUGUGACCUUGAGUAACAGAGCAGGGUUGGGGGAAGUGUGUUGACUCUUCAAGGCUGGGACAUUCAGGGCUGGCCUUCUUAUAAUUAAACCUGAGUCAAAAGACCCUCUAUUUGGCAUAACUUACUAUUGUUCUAAGUGUAUCAGUAAGUUUCCAUGAAUUAAUGAGGCUUAGGGGGACACCUGGAUGGCUUGGUGGUUUAGCGUCUGCCUUUGGCUCAGGAUGUGAUCCUGGAGUCCUGGGAUCGAGUCCCACAUUGGGCUUCCUGCAUGAAGCCUGCUUCUCCCUCUGCCUGUGUCUCUGCCUCUCUCUCUGUGUCUCUCAUGAAUAAAUAAAUAAAAUCUUAAAAAAAUUAAUGAGGC